rnacentral:rRNA from 1 species
UAGGGAAUCUUCGGCAAUGGGGGGAACCCUGACCGAGCACCGCCGCGGGAGUGAAGAAGGUUUUCGGAUGGUAAAGCCCUGUUGUUAAGGAAGAACGAGUGUGAGAAUGGAAAGUUCAUGCUGUGACGGUACUUAACCAGAAGGGGCCGGCUACCUACGUGCCAGCAGCCGCGGUAAUACGUAGGUCCCGAGCGUUGUCCGGAUUUAUUGGGCGUAAAGCGAGCGCAGGCGGUUAGAAAAGUCUGAAGUGAAAGGCAGUGGCUCAACCAUUGUAGGCUUUGGAAACUGUUUAACUUGAGUGCAGAAGGGGAGAGUGGAAUUCCAUGUGUAGCGGUGAAAUGCGUAGAUAUAUGGAGGAACACCGGUGGCGAAAGCGGCUCUCUGGUCUGUAACUGACGCUGAGGCUCGAAAGCGUGGGGAGCGAACAGG